rnacentral:sRNA from 10 species
UAAACUCUAGGAGAAGAAGAAAGAAAAGGAGAGGAAGAGAGAAAAAGCUUGGUUUUGGUGAUUCAAGUAAGAAACGGUAAGAAUUCUUGCUUUUGGCUUGAGUAGUCUUUGAAAUUGAGUUAGUGACUUAGAGAAAAGUCUUGUGGCAGCAAAGAUUGGCUUGAUUGGAGAAAAAAUUGAUAACAUGUAAGCAAAUAAACCCAUGGGUACAUGAAGGACUCAAAGUGGAAAAGGAAAACGGAAGUGCAAAGAUAAGGUUAGAGUAUCGUGGUGGCUUGUCGGAAUAAAUAACGAGCGAUUGGCCAGUGAAAAUAGUUAGAGACACCUCCGAACAAAUAGCAACUUAAUAUCUCGUUGUUGCCAGGCUCAGUAUAGGCUGUAGAUAGCUGAUAUUGUCGAAGGCUACAAUUGGCUUUACUUCCUAAAAAACUGCUCAGUAUAGGCUGUAGAUAGUUGAUAUCGUCG